UCCCAAUGCGUUUUAAAGAACCUUAGAUGUAAUUAUUGCAACAGCCUUUUUUCAGGUUUGUAAUUCUAGUUAUUCUCAAUAUUUUUGGCUCUGAAAUCCUCUUCUUAUGAAUAACAGUACUUUAUUACUGUUAUAACAAGUACGCAAAUUUAAGGCACACACACAAAUUGCACAAUCACACAGUAUUAAAAAUAGAAGAAGAAUAAUAUAGGAUUUAACGUGGUUCAACCGUA
rnacentral:misc_RNA from 1 species